AUACUGUAUAAUCCCUGCGGGGGAAAGAUUUAUCGCUAUUAGAUGAGCCUACGUUAGAUUAGCUAGUUGGUAAGGUAAUGGCUUACCAAGGCUAUGAUCUAUAGCUGGUCUGAGAGGACGAUCAGCCACACUGGAACUGAGAUACGGUCCAGACUCCUACGGGAGGCAGCAGUGGGGAAUAUUGGACAAUGGGCGAAAGCCUGAUCCAGCUAUGCCGCGUGAGUGAAGAAGGCCUUCGGGUUGUAAAGCUCUUUCAAUAGGGAAGAUAAUGACGGUACCUAUAGAAGAAGUCCCGGCAAACUCCGUGCCAGCAGCCGCGGUAAUACGGAGGGGGCAAGCGUUGUUCGGAAUUAUUGGGCGUAAAGGGCACGUAGGUGGACUAGUAAGUUAAAAGUGAAAUACCAAAGCUUAACUUUGGAGCUGCUUUUAAUACUGCUAGACUAGAGGUCGAAAGAGGAUAGCGGAAUUCCUAGUGUAGAGGUGAAAUUCGUAGAUAUUAGGAGGAACACCAGUGGCGAAGGCGGCUAUCUGGUUCGAUACUGACACUGAGGUGCGAAAGCGUGGGGAGCAAACAGGAUUAGAUACCCUGGUAGUCCACGCUGUAAACGAUGAGUGCUAAAUGUGAGGAUUUUAUCUUUGUAUUGUAGCUAACGCGUUAAGCACUCCGCCUGGGGACUACGGUCGCAAGACUAAAACUCAAAGGAAUUGACGGGGACCCGCACAAGCGGUGGAGCAUGUGGUUUAAUUCGAUGCUACGCGAAAAACCUUACCACUUUUUGACAUGAAGGUCGUAUCCCUCCUAACAGGGGGAGUCAGUUCGGCUGGACCUUACACAGGUGCUGCAUGGUUGUCGUCAGCUCGUGUCGUGAGAUGUUGGGUUAAGUCCCGCAACGAGCGCAACCCUCAUCCUUAGUUACCAACAGGUAAUGCUGGGCACUCUAAGGAAACUGCCAGUGAUAAACUGGAGGAAGGUGGGGAUGAUGUCAAAUCAGCACGGCCCUUAUAAGGUGGGCUACACACGUGCUACAAUGGCAACUACAAUAGGUUGCGAGACCGCAAGGUUUAGCUAAUCCAUAAAAGUUGUCUCAGUUCGGAUUGUUCUCUGCAACUCGAGAGCAUGAAGUCGGAAUCGCUAGUAAUCGUGGAUCAUCACGCCACGGUGAAUACGUUCUCGGGUCUUGUACACACUGCCCGUCACGCCAUGGGAAUUGGCUUAACUCGAAGCUGGUGUGCUAACCGCAAGGAAGCA
rnacentral:rRNA from 1 species